CCUCUCGGGGGUAAGCGGGCAGAACUUGUAAGUAUUGAUAAGAGAUUCAGAUUUAAGUUUAAUAAUUGAGUACUAUUGUUAAGUUGUUUAUUCGUAAACUGACUGAUUUUUGUACUUUAUUUUAUUGAAUGUAUGUCGCAUUUCUCCGUCAUUCGGAUUGUAAGCAACUAAUUUUGGUAGUUUUAAGUACUUGAAAUCUGUAAAUUAUUCAUUUAUGAAUGAUUUAAGUUUAAGUUAACUGAUUACUAUUGUGGUUGUAUAAUUAGCGUACAUGUGUUUGACACGGUUAAUUUAUAUUUACGAGUUGUGGAUAUGUUGUAUACGGAUGAGUAAUCAUAGUAUAUAAUAUGUAUAAAUUGUCAGUAAUAUAUAUUUAGCUAUGUACAGUAUUGCAAUCUAAAGCAUGCGUGGUCUGCCUGU
rnacentral:rRNA from 1 species